rnacentral:rRNA from 1 species
AUUGAACGCUGGCGGCAGGCCUAACACAUGCAAGUCGAACGAGUGGCGGACGGGUGAGUAAUGUCUGGGAAACUGCCCGAUGGAGGGGGAUAACUACUGGAAACGGUAGCUAAUACCGCAUACCCUCGGAUGUGCCCAUAUGGGAUUAGCUUGUAGGUGGGGUAACGGCUCACCUAGGCGACGAUCCCUAGCUGGUCUGAGAGGAUGACCAGCAACACGGGGACUGAGACACGGUCCAGACUCCUACGGGAGGCAGCAGUGGGGAAUAUUGCACAAUGGGAGAAAGCCUGAUGCAGCCAGGCCGCGUGUAUGAAGAAGGCCUUCGGGUUGUAAAGUACUUUCAGCGGGGAGGCGUUACUCGCAGAAGAAGCACCGGCUAACUCCGUGCCAGCAGCCGCGGUAAUAC